GAUGAAGGACGCAGCGAAAUGCGAUAAGUAAUGUGAAUUGCAGAAUUCAGUGAAUCAUCGAAUCUUUGAACGCACAUUGCGCCCCCUGGUAUUCCGGGGGGCAUGCCUGUUCGAGCGUCAUUUCACCACUCAAGCCUCGCUUGGUAUUGGGCAACGCGGUCCGCCGCGUGCCUCAAAUCGACCGGCUGGGUCUUCUGUCCCCUAAGCGUUGUGGAAACUAUUCGCUAAAGGGUGUUCGGGAGGCUACGCCGUAAAACAACCCCAUUUCUAAGGUUGACCUCGGAUCAGGUAGGGAUACCCGCUGAACUUAAGCAUAUCAAUAAGCGGAGGA
rnacentral:misc_RNA from 1 species